GCGGGGCGGGCCUCCGGCGAGCCGCGCGCCCAGGCGGCCAGGCCUGAGGCUUGCCCCUUGGGGAGGGCCGAGGCCGCUGGACCCGUGGGGCACCGGCGGGAGAAGCAGGGCGGCACACGUUGCGCACCCCCGCCUGCCACACACCACCGCCCGGCCGGCGGCAGAGGCGCGAGCCCCGGGGCGGAACCCGAAGGGCCGACCCUCUCGCCAGCCAGCCGUGUCCAUGCCUCUUCUGGCGCGUUUUAGGUCCGGCCCGGGAGAGCCGGGCCUCCCCACGUCCUACUACAACCGGCAAGUGUUUCUGCGUUUUGUUCUUCCUCAAGACGUAUUACUUUUUGAAACUGCUUUAUUGGGGAAGAGUGAUUUACAGUGUCGCCCUAGCCUCGCGGGUUUACAGCAAAGUGAAUCAUACACCUACGUGGUCUUAGGACCUGUUGUCAGUGGUGCUCCCAAGCUCUGACCAGGAGACCCUCGUGUGUUCUGCUCGCUGAAAGUGGCAGAAAGCACCAAGUGCCCCCUAAGCCGGCUUGCAAGAAAAUGGCCUGAGAUAUCUACUCUCCUUUGCAGCCCUCCUACCCCCAACCGCACCCACUCAGAGCAGCUCCAGUCCAAUUGGUCUGUGACAGAAAAAGAGGCUCCCAAAGGGGCAGAAGGGGACUCCUGUUGCAGCCCCUCCUCCAGCUUCAGAAAGUCAAGAACAUUUUGGUUCCAGAGGCAAGAACCCCAACGAAAAUUCGCUGAUGCGGAAAAGGGGAAAGGGAACAUGCACAUAACAGAGAGGUCCAAUAUGCGUGGAUUUAAUGGCUCCGUGUUAUGAGAAGGCUUUAACGCCUCCGUCUUCCCAUGCGGCUGCCAGGAUGACUGCGUAUGAGCUCCGUAUGCCGUCCCCGCAUCUUCACGGCUCACUCAGAUAUGAAAUCUCUGGAAGACAGUGACCAGGGAGGCUCCAGUCAAUGCCAGCUGCUCAGCCGAUGCCUGGGAGUAAAGCUAAGUAUUAUGGUGGGCCCAGACCUAUACCAAGCUCGGUGGCCUGGGGUUUGGGCACCUAUGAUGGGGAGCUUUAAUGGGAUGCCACAUCUUGAAGUACUUUCCCCGGAGACAAGGAUGUGGGCAGGCUGCCCCCCAAAUCAACAUGUCCUAUGGUUUCAGCACUGACAAUCCCCCACGCUUUCACUUGUUGUUGUUGUUGCCGUUCUCUCUUGUAUUAUUUUGUUCCACUUUGGAUGGAGCCAGGAUUCUAAACCCUUCUCCUCAUGCGCCCUUCUUUCCUGGAACUUGUUUAACUCAAAAUGUUCUGUCUUUCAGAUCCUAUCUACAAGUUCCCUAUGAGCAAGGAUGCAAUUCAUCUGCUUCUGGGAACUUGAGCGUGCUUGAAAUUACAGGAGGUCUCCUACUUCCCGAUUGGGAGCUUUGGAUUUUAAGUUCUUCGUUCGGUAAAGUAUAUUUCUGCAGACCAUGGACUCCUCUUGACAGAUAGCAUUGGUGGUAGGGUGAACUGGGAAGCCAAAUAACCCUUCAUUUGUCAGAAAAGGGUAAAAAAAAUAAUCCAUUCCUGAGUUGGCAACAACUAUCAUAGAUAACAACAACGCUAGCACCUGACAUCCUAUGUGGUGACUCUAAGAGUAGAGGCCAACCUCCGGAAAUAGAUGCGUUGUCCUUAGGGAGUUCUCCCCUUUGAGUUUCUCCCAAGUGGUGUUGCUUUGAAAAGGACAAGAGAGUAACGAGGGGAGAUUUGCUUGUCUGUUGCGGUACAGCAACUACCCCCACAUUUAGCAGCUUGAGCCAUCAGCAUCCAUUGGUUCAUGAUUUCGGUGGGUUCCCUGUCCAGGAGUGGAUUGGAUGGGUGACUGUGGCUCAGGGUUUGCAGGAGGUGGCAGUCAGGCCGUCCUCUAGGGCUGUCCUCUCAGGUUCCGCCAGAGGAAGACCUGCUUCCACACUCCCUCACGGUGGCACGUGGUCCUCAGUUCCUCACCACGUGGACCUCUUCAUAGGCCCGAUGCCCUCACAGCACACCAGCGAGCUUCCGGCUCACAGGGCCGGCUGCCCCCCGGAGCAAGCCAUGCUGGGACAAAGCAGAAAUGGAAGUCACCAUCUUUCCGUAACCGUGUGUCACAAAGCACAUCCCAGUACUUUUGGGCCUGUGGUAACCAUAGAAGCCAGUCCAGUCCGCAUUAAUGGAAAGGGAAAUCAGGUUCCCUCACUUGACAGGAGGAGUGUGCAGUAGUUUGGGGGCAUAUCUGUAAAACCAGGGCAGGAGGCUUUUGAGUUCCUUCACGUGGAAUCACCCUAUGGGUCUGUGAUAAAAGUCGUUAGUCACAUUAUCGGCAUCCAAGAUUAUUUUUCCAAAAGUGAAGCUGUAGCCACAGUGAACCUUAGGAAAGAUUCAGAAAAGUCCCUUGAGCACCCACAUUCCUGGACGUGGACCUUGUCCCUCCGCUUGGUAUGGCCCUCACGACCCAGACAGCCCGCCUUAGCAGCCCGCGAAAGCUUAAGGUUUCCCCUUUAAGAGUCAUAACAAGACUCGGAGCAGCACAGCUCACGUCUGUCGGGGAAAGAUGGACUCUCCUAAAAGGAAAAGUGAAGAACAUGGGAUCUUGGGGACCCUGGGGAGAGGAGAUGACAUGGAGGGGGAAGAUGGAAUGUAGUUCUUGUCGGGGAACAUACUGACAAAGCCCUAAGACUGCUAAUCAAAUUCCAGUUAAAAUCUCUGUACACGCCGGCGUUCCCGUCGUGGCUCUGCAGUUAACGAAUCUGACUAACGUUCAUGAGGGCGCGGGUUCGACCCCGGCCUGGCUCAGUGGGUUGAGAAUCCAGCGUUGCUGUGGCUGUGG
rnacentral:lncRNA from 1 species